rnacentral:rRNA from 1 species
CUCUUUAAGAACAAUGAUUUAAAGUAAAUCCUGCUCAAUGUAAUAAUAAAUAGCCGCAGUCAACUGUGCUAAGGUAGCAUAAUCACUUGUUUCUUAAUUAGAAAAUAGUAUGAAUGGAUUAACGAGUUAAAACUGUUUCUGUUUGUCUAAAUAAAUUUAAUUUUUGCGUUAAAACCCCCAAAUAUAGUAACAAGACGACAAGACCCUGAUAAACUUAUUAAUUCAGUUGGGGCGACAAAAUAAAAAAACCUUAUUAAACUCCUAAUACCUAACUUAAUAAAAAAUAAAGACCAGUUACUACAGGGAUAACAGCGUUAUUUUUCUUUAGAGCCCUUAUCAAAAGAAAAGAUUACGACCUCGAUGUUGAAUUAAUUAGUCUAGAUGAAGCAACAAUUAUCUAAGAAAGUCUGUUCGACUUAUAAUAAAUU